GUUAUGUCUUUGUUAGCAGCAUGGGAACAGACUAAUACACUUGCCUUUCAGAUUUUGCAGGCAGGAGUCAGGUGUGUGCACAAGAACCACACAUUAGGCCUUAGGCUCUCUGAGGAGUUCUUUUGACAUCUUUUCCUUUAGAAGUGAGGUGAGGGCAGAACCCCACCUUUAGACAUGACUUGGUGGGAGGAAGCUCAGAAUAUAAACUCUCACCACAGGCCCUUUCCAUAAUCAAACAAUCUCUACCACCCACCCCACCCCCCCGCCACCCAAAACGAGAACAACAAAAAACCCAACUAAAAAUCUCUUAGUUAUCUCUUAAUGUCUAAACCUUAUACCCUGGACAUGAGUGAGAGGAUUAAGAAUUGAACCUCCUUUGAAAUUGUGCCACCAUGGCCAAAUGAUAUCUAUGCUUCAUGACUUUAGCCUAAAGUCCAUUUUAACAUUUUGUACACACACACACACACACACACACACACACCCACACCACAGAUAAACAUAAGAGUUUGCAUUCAUCUAUAAAUCUCAUCAGUCCCUGGAACUCCCAAUAACAAGGAGAAAGUAAGUUGGGGGAUUGUACCUCACAUUUCCUUCUAUAUCUUCUUUUUCUCUUAAUUCUCUUCUGGAUGUUCAUUGUGACCUCAUCUUACCAGCAGGGGUGUGUGUGUGCGUGCAUGUGCUCAGAGGUGGUGUGGAGAGGGGGCAGAGUAUGAUUCUCCCGGAGGGUGGUUUAGUCUGAGCCCUAACAGUCCUCUGGGUUCAGUGCUGGGUCUCAUAUCCUAUGGGUCUCACAUCCGAUGGGCUGUCUGGAUGCUUUUUAAGUGGAGCAGUAGGAAGGAUGAAUGCUACUGCUGGCAUCACUGUUUGCUACAACAGCAUUUAAAAGAAGGCCUGAGUCAAUUAGGACAUCAAAUAAUCCUAUUGCUUUUAUAAUACCUAAAUAUUGAAUAUUUAAAAGGUAAGCAGGCUUGAAAUUUGAAAUGGAAAGAAAAUGUCCCUUUAAGUCGUUAAGGAGUGUUAGGAGCCAUAAGCCUCUGAAAAAAAGUUAGAAGUUCGAAGAAUUCAUAAGUCAGAGAACUUGGGUUACAUUUAUAAAUAUGUAGACCUUACAGUAAUAAAAUCAGAGCAAACUCAGAGGUCCACUUAGGAAGGUGACCAGAGAAUAAGUCAAGUAACUGCACUCAUAGCCAAUUUGGAAUUCUGUCUCUAGGAAAAUGGUUACUAUAAGAUAUUCACAGAUAAGUCAGAGAAGGAAAGAAGUCACAAAAGAGAUGUGAGGUGGUUAAGAAAGCAGAUUUUAGAAUGACAGUGGAGAAGUGAAUUCUGGCUAAAUAAUUUGUGACCUGGGUGGCCUUAGGAUGCAUGUAGAGGAUUUUUGGCCUCAAUUUUCUCACCUGUAAAUUGGUACCUAUCUUACAAGGUGGUCAUGAGAAUGCUAGCAGUGUUUUUGGUACAUAGUAAGUGCUCAAUAAAUAUUAGCUAUUACUAAAUCUUGAUUUUCCCCCUAGAAACACCAUGUAUCUCAUACAAAGAUGAACCUUUCAAAUAAAGAGAGGUUGUAAGACAAAACACUGAAUUCAAGUGAUUACCAGUAAGAAAGUAGUUUAGAUUUUAUACUGAUAUUAAUUUGAUUACAUAAUCACAAAGAUAAAUAGUUGACUCUGUUUUAGUCAUAAAAGAGAAAAAGUGCACCAAAAAAGUGUUUAAUUUGACAGUUAUUUUGCUGUGGUUUGUGUGAGUGUGUGUGUGUGUGUUUAGUCUACUUCCAGACGAGAGAAAAACAAUUCCAUAAAGGUUAUUUCACUAUCUGAGCAUGUUCUUUCAUAUUGGUUUAUAGGUACACCUAUUAUAGACUCACUCUUUAGUUAUGGGGAUGUGAUCCUUGUUAUUUAGAACAGACCACAUGCAGGAACCAACAAACCCUAAAGGCCACUGGAUUCUAUUAACAGAGAUUUACUUCUCACCCAUGCCACAGCCUUCUGGAGAGCAGGCAGUUCCUCUGAAGGGCUCUCCUCCAGUGUUGAUAUGGAGACCUAGACCCAUUUUAUACUGUGGCUCUCCUGUUUCCUAGAGCCUCUUUGGUGUUCUUCCAUGAAUCUUUAGCUUUCUCCGGCUGAUGAGUAAAGGUAUAGAAUGAAAAUGAUUGUGUGGGAUGUUUUAUAUGCAGCUUGGAGGUGGCAGUCAUCAUUCCUUCCCAUAUUUCUUUGGCCAGAACCUGAUCACAUGGCCCUCAAAAAGCUGCAAGGAAAGAUAGGAAGCGUAGGUUUUUUGCCUCCCCAGGGUGGGAAAGAGAGGCUGGAGAGCAUUUAAUUAGUCUGCCGCUUGACUGUUGUUGAUGCUGAAUUGAAGAAGAGUUUUUGUAUUGAGUAAGGCUUUACAGAAUGGUUGCAGCAGGCUGUGUUGGCAGACCUUGGCUCUUAGAUUAAGGCAAAAACUUUAAACUUCAAAAUGUGAAUCUGUGCAUUAAUCUGCAAAGUAGGGAGAACCUAUUUGAGUAGAACGGCACCUGAUCUAGUGGGAAGGUAGAACACGUUUUUGUUUCCUUAGGUCAAGUUGCUGAGGAAAUGGCAGUAAUGUUAUGCUUACUUGAUAUCCCCAUAACAUCAGGGCUCUUCCUGAUACAUCCCAGAGAACACUGAAGCCCCUUUCACUCGUUGAAGCCCCUUUCACUCGUUGUUCUAAUUUAACUUGAGUUAUCCUGAUAUAAUUUCCCUUAACAUGCUUCCAUUUUCCCAUCUAAGUCUGGAAAAUCAAAAUGGCCUUUGCCCUACCAUGAUGCAUGGAUUCAGACAUUAGUUACUGAAGUUCUCUUAUGACACUACAAUAAGAAUCAUUUUGGCUAUAUUUAUAGAUAGUAAGAUGGCUUUACAACAAGGUAGAAACUUUCAGCUCAUGAAAAAUUCGUUCAAUAAGAGCAAUUUGUAGAAGCACAACACAAUGUUCUCAAGUAAACGUUAUCCUACAUGCCUGCCAGCUCCUCAUUUGAGUAAUCAGCCCCAUGAGAGAAUGGGCAAAUAUGGUAAACCGUGCAUCAACUUUGAGAGGAAGAACUCAAGUCUGCCCUCACAGAGUUUUUGAAUGCCAAAUGGGCUGUGUGAUGCAUGGCUUGGUACUAUUUUGGUCAAGGCUGGAUUGUCUGUGACCCUCAACAUCUCUGUUCCUUUGUCUCCCAAUUUCCGGCGUUGAUAAGCUGGAUCAGAUGAUCACUGUCAUUCAUUUCAGCUUUCAGAGUCUGUCCUUUGCUCUUUCUGCCACCCAGCACACUUAAGGAAUGUCUCUGCCCAUUUCUUCUUCUUCCCCACCCCGUUCUCUGCUGUGGGCCCAAGAAAAGGGAAAAGCAAUUUAAUUUUAAUAUGAUCUGAAGUCAGACGUAAUUAGAAAGACAAAUCUGCUGGAAAAAAAAUCUGCAUUCCAAAGCUAAAUACUAUAGUGUUGGCAGUCAGUCGAGCACCAACCUAGCACAUUAACUGUGCUCCAUGAGGCUUUCACUGAAGGUAAUACUAUGUUUUAAGAGGGUAUAAUGCUACUCCUGGUAUUUCCAAAUUCUUAAGAGUAACAAACUAUGAAAAAAUAGGAUUUAUUUGUAUGUACAAGUUUUAUAGAUAUCUUUUGAUUUUGCAAGGUAGAGUAUCAGACUGGGGCAAUGUUAUCAAAGGACCGCUUAGGAUGUUGUUAAAAAUACAGAUUUCUGGGCCCCACUCAGAAAUCAAUCAAUCUGACUAUGAUUGGUUAAUUUCUAUGGUCAAUUUUCCAGGAUAGAAUUAAAUACUCUGAAUAUUGGACCAACUACCCAGUUUGAGAGCUCACUAAAAGUGUGGCAACCAUUAAAGAAGUUGGACAAAUCACAGAAUUUUCCCUGCCUGUACAAGGAGACGAUCAACCUUUACUCUGCCACACAGAACUGUUGCACAGGUUAAAAGUAAAGCAUGUGCUCCAAAGCCCUUUGCCGGAUGAAAAUUCCUCUGCCAACAUCAGCUUAUGUUGUUAUUGUCAGGGGCAACUAAAACAUAGACUGACAACCAUCUUCUGCUUUUACAUCUUCUUGAAAAUGUCUCAGGUCUCUUUCCUCUUGGGAGCUUAGGCAUGGAGUAUCAGAGUGUGAUGUGUUUAUUCUGCACCCCCUACUUUAAUGGAGCUUAUGUCAACUGCAGCAGCUCCAAAGUGCUUGUGGAGUUAACCAUAGCAAGGUUUCAUUUGUGCACUUACAGAUUUUAAAGGCGACAAGCUGAGUGUUCUCUUCUGUUCAUCAGGGACACAAACAAAGCUAUUAGCUCUAGGUCCAGGGAAAGGGAAAAAAAAAUCACUUUUCAUAUUGUGCAACCAACCCUAAACCAGGUCAAUCUCUCCUUCAUUGCUGGCUAAUAUCCAAGUCACAGUGAAAAGCUGAUGUUUUUGUUUAGAAUGGAUUUUUGCAGUGUUUAUAAACCAAGUCUCCUUGAAAUUUUCAUUAGGAGGAUCACACAGUUCACCUCUUGUCCUGCCCUUUAUCCUUUCUGCUGGAAUAGUUGAGUGAUUUUGAAAAUUCUCACUAGUUUAAUUGAUUAGUAAGGAGAGUUAUUUUUGAAAGUCACCUUCUGCAAAGCAGAACUGAGAUUGACACCCAGUCAAGAUGCUGUGACCUUUGUUUAUGUAGCACAGAGAAUGAUGAGAAUGUGACCUUCAUUACAGCUUUGAAUGUGUGAGGAAGGGGAGGGAAGGAUCAUUUAUCAACUCAGUGCCAACACUUUACUAGGCACCAAAGGCCUGUUAUGCCAUUGAAUCCUAAUAAUUUAUAAUCCUGUGACAUGGGUAUUAUGAUUACUAUAUUUAUAGGCAAGGAAACUGAAGCUCAAGUGGUUACUUCAUUAGUGGGUGGUGGAGCCAGGUUACUCCCAAAUGUAACCACUUAAGACAAUAACCAUCUAUUAUUGCUCACAGUCUGUAGCCAGCAUCAGUUGACUGGUUGGCUGGGAUGUUCUGUUGAUCUGGGUGAGGCUUGGCUAAUUUUGGUUGGGCUUGCUCAGGCACUUGCAGCGCAUUGGCUGGUUGGCUGGUGUGUGUGUGUGUGUGUGUGUGUGUGUGUGUGUGUGUGUAUGUGUGUGUAUGUAUGUGUGACUUUGUUAGGAUGGCCUUACUCAUGUGUUUGGCAGUUGGCUGACUGUUGGCUACAGUGAUGGGGCUAUGAAAGAUGGCCACUACAAUAUAUAUCUCUUUUUACAAUGUGACACUGAUAGUUUCUUUGUCUCUGUGUUCCUCUCCUUUGAAUCUGGGCAGAACUUUGUGACCGCCUUGACCAACAGAAUGUGGUGGGUUUAAUGGCAGGCCAACUUCCAGGCUUCCGCCUUGAGAAACUGGCAGUUUCCACUUCCUUCCUUGUGCAACGUUGCUCUUGGAACUCUCCUACAAUGCUGUGUGGCAGUGGAGCAGCCACAUGAAGAGGUCAGGUAUGCAUGUCUCACCACCAGUCCCUGCUGAGGUCCUGGUGGGCAGCAGCAUCAACCAACAGACAUGUAAGUGAAUGAGUGAGUGAGCGAGCCUGCAGAUGACUCCAGCUCCAAGAGGCUGAAUGACUCCCAGACACUGAGUCACCCCCAGCCUUUGAGGUUUCCCAGUGGAUGCCACAUGGAGCAGAGGUGAGCUGUCCGUGCCAGACCCUGCCCAAAGUGCUGAUUUGUAGGCUGAAUAAAUAAUUGUUGUCUUGAGUUGCUGCAUUUGAGGUGGAUGGUUAUGCAACAAUAGAGAACUGAAAUAGAGGAUAGUUUGUCCAUGUGUCUCAUAUCAUUCAGCCUGCUAGACCAGGUUUGUUUGCAUGGUAGCUAGCAGGUUCUGAGCGGCAGAGGGAGAGAGGGAGAUGGGGAAAGAGGGAGGGAGGGAGAGAGAGAGAGAGAGAGAGAGAAAGAGAGAGUGAAAACACAAAAGGUCUCUUGAGGCCUAGGCUCAAAACUAGCACACUGUUACUUCUAUUGCAUUCUGUUGUGCAAAGCAAAUAACACGACCAACCCAGAUUCAAGAGGAGUGGAGUAGACUCUGCCUUUUGAUGGGAGGAGUUGAAAGUCACAUCAAAAAGUGCUCAUAUAAAGCCAGGAAUGAAGCCUUGUGGUCAUUUUUGCAACCUACUACAUUAUGCCACCUCCUAAGGCUUAUGGAUAACUCAGUCCCAUGGUGACCAAGAGAAGUUCUCCAGAGGCUACCUCAUCUAUAAUAUCUCAAGAGACUGAAUACAGAAGCAGAUAUUAAAAAAACUUUUUUCCUAAAAUUAUUUGUAUUUUGAAAAAUAUACUUAAAAAAUCAAACUGUUAA